GACGAACGUUGGCGGUGCGCUUAAUGCAUGCAAGUCGAGGGAGAUCCAGUCGUUCCGUAAGGCGCGGCUGGGGAAACCGGCGAACGGGUGCGUAACACGUGAGGAACCUGCCCCGAAGACCGGGAUAGCCCGGGGAAACCCGGAUUAAUACCGGAUACCCUCUUUGGACCACAUGGUCUGUUGAGGAAAUGGUCCGCUGCUUCGGGAUGGCCUCGCGGCCUAUCAGCUUGUUGGUGAGGUAAUGGCUCACCAAGGCAAAGACGGGUAGCUGGUCUGAGAGGACGAUCAGCCACACUGGGACUGAGACACGGCCCAGACUCCUACGGGAGGCAGCAGCAGGGAAUAUUGCACAAUGGGCGAAAGCCUGAUGCAGCGACACCGCGUGCGGGAUGAAGGC
rnacentral:rRNA from 1 species